rnacentral:sRNA from 1 species
AGUCGCCUCGCAGCAGCGAGCCGCGAGCGCCCUUCUCCAGUCCCGGCUUGGAACUGAACUGUGUGAGCACGGGUCCUGGAACCCGGGCCCAGAACCGGCGAGCCCAGGUCUGAGCCCAGAGCUCAGCGGUCAGCCUGGUAGGCCCUGACUCGGAAUCGAGCCGAGGCGCUGAGCUUGGAGCCGGAGAGCGGGAGAGCCGGAGAGCAGGGAGGGCGGGCCGGCUGCGCGUCCGACGAGUCGCAGAGCAGGACCGCGGAAGGCAGGGAGACGGCCGCAAGCCCAGGGCAGAGGGCAGAGGGCAGAGAGCGGCCUGGCUCGGCGGAGAGGGCGCCGCCCGGCCGGAACCGAGCUCGCCGCCCGGGACGGCGGCCCCCCGUGGGGCGCGGACCCAGGGUGGCCGUGGGUCCGCAGCGACUCCCCGGCCGACGGCGGGGGGCGUGCCCCCUCCCAGCCCAGCCUCCCCAACCCGGCCCGCCCGCCGCGUCGCGGGGGCAUGUGAGCGGGAAGCCUAGGCUGCCAGCCGCGAGGACCGCACGGAGGAGGAGCAGGAGCGCGGAGCCGCGAGCCCCGAGCCCCGAGCCCGGCGCCUGGCUGAGUAGAUGUCCAUGAGGAGCCCCAUCUCUGCCCAGCUGGCCCUGGAUGGCGUUGGCACCAUGGUGAACUGCACCAUCAAGUCAGAGGAGAAGAAAGAGCCUUGCCACGAGGCCCCCCAGGGCUCAGCCACUGCCGCUGAACCUCAGCCUGGAGACCCAGCCCGGGCCUCCCAGGAUAGUGCUGACCCCCAAGCUCCAGCCCAGGGGAAUUUCAGGGGCUCCUGGGACUGUAGCUCUCCAGAGGGUAAUGGGUCCCCAGAACCCAAGAGACCAGGAGCGUCGGAGGCUGCCUCUGGAAGCCAGGAGAAGCUGGACUUCAACCGAAAUUUGAAAGAAGUGGUGCCAGCCAUAGAGAAGCUGUUGUCCAGUGACUGGAAGGAGAGGUUUCUAGGAAGGAACUCUAUGGAAGCCAAAGAUGUCAAAGGGACCCAAGAGAGCCUAGCAGAGAAGGAGCUCCAGCUUCUGGUCAUGAUUCACCAGCUGUCCACCCUGCGGGACCAGCUCCUGACAGCCCACUCGGAGCAGAAGAACAUGGCUGCCAUGCUGUUUGAGAAGCAGCAGCAACAGAUGGAGCUUGCCCGGCAGCAGCAGGAGCAGAUUGCAAAGCAGCAGCAGCAGCUGAUUCAGCAGCAGCAUAAGAUCAACCUCCUUCAGCAGCAGAUCCAGCAGGUUAACAUGCCUUAUGUCAUGAUCCCAGCCUUCCCCCCAAGCCACCAACCUCUGCCUGUCACCCCUGACUCCCAGCUGGCCUUACCUAUUCAGCCCAUUCCCUGCAAACCAGGUGAGUGUGAGAAGGGAGGUUCCACCACUGCGGCCAGCCUGUCCUGAGGUCAGGGAAAGCGCCCUGGAGCCACUCUCAUCCAUUAAUUUGCUAUGUGGACUUUCUGGGCCUCAGUUUUGGAUCUGUCUGGUAGAAGAAUCAUCCUCUUUUUCUGAAUCUUGCUGAAUUUUGCUGAACUUCACUGGGAGAAUGAAAAACCAUAAAGCCCUUUCCAGAUGUAAAAUGAUGUAGCAAUCCAGGUCUAGUCUCUCCAACUCUAGUACAUUUACUGUGUCAGAGUAUUAAUAUCUGGAAUAUUGCCAGGUGUGGUGGCUCACGCAUGUAAUCCCAGCACUUUGGGAGGCCGAAGUGGGUGGAUCACUUGAGGUCAGGAAUUCGAGGCCAGCCUGGCCAACAUGGUGAAACCCCAUCUUUACUAAAGAUACAAAAAUUAGCUGGGUGUGGUGGUGCAUGCCUGUAGUCCCAGCUACUCAGAAGACUGAGGCAGGAGAAUCGCUUGAACCUGGGAGGCGGAGGUUGCAGUGAGCUGAGAUCAUGCCACUGCACUCCAGCCUAGGUGACAGAGCGAGACUCCAUUUCAAAGAAAAAAAAAAAAAAAUCUGGAAUAUUAACUGGGGUUUAUAAAUCUCCCAAAUUCUUUUUUUGUUUGUUUGUGUUUUGUGUUUUGAGACAGAGUCUUACUUGUUCUGUCACCUGGGCUCUGGAGUGCAGUGGUAUAAUCUCAGCUCACUGCUGCAGCCUCCACCUCCCAUGUUCAAGCGAUUCUCCUGCCUCCGCCUCCUGAGUAGCUGGAAUUACAGGUGCACACCACCAUACCUGGCUAAUUUUUGUAUUUUUAGUAGAGACGAAGUUUCGCCGCGUUGCCCAGGCUGGUCUCCUGACCGCAAGUGAUCCUCCCGCCUCAGCCUCCCAAAGUGCUGGGAUUACAGGCGUGAGCCAACAUCUCCCAAAUUCUAACAGCCACGAUUCCUACCUUCACACUCUUGUCCCUGCCUACACCAUGUCACUCUGGCCUUCUACCCCAUCACUGAAAUUCAGCAGACUGGCCAUGUGUCAGACAAGGGUGUGGGACCUGACGGUACUGGGCAGUUGGGGAGGGAGCAUGGAGUCUGGGAUUUAUUUUGUAGGCUGUGGGGUGCAUGUGAACAUUUGAGAAGUGAGUGUGUCGUUCUGGCUUUGAGGGGUGGGGAGUGGAGGGGAGACUGGCCAGAAGCAGGACCUGCUAGGUGAUUCUAGCAGCAGGGGAUGAUACCUGAACUAGGGCAGUGACAGAGAGUUAUGGGGACAGGGCAGAGAUGCUGCCCAUAAUUACCCCAGGGGUGUGGACAGCUUUAAAGGCAACACGUGCUAGUUCAUCCUCCCUGUUCCACAGGCGAGAAAGAGAGAGAAGAGGAAAUUCCCUGAGGCCUAUAGGCCGUGGGCUUGGGUAGACUGCUCAGCCCCACCGGCUCUCUGCUCCUGCCUGGUUUGUGCCGGGCACUGUAGGGUGGUGUGAAGGGGAAACACAAAAGACUGAGAAAGCCAGGCCCCAUCUUCAUCCAUUCAGGGGCUGUAGAAAGACACCAUGGACCGGGUGGCUCAUAAACAACAGAUGUUUAUUCCUCACAUACAGUUCUGGGGGCUGUGAAUUCCAAGAUCAUAAAGCCAGCGUAUUUGGUGUCUGGUGAGGGCUGACUUUCUGGUUCACAGAUGGCGUCUCUCACUGUGUCCUCAGGUGGUGAAAGGGGUAAACGGGCUCCCUCAGGCCUCUAAUCUCAUUCCUGAGGGCUCCACCCUCAUGACCCAGGCACCUCCCAAAGGUCCCACCUCCUAAUUGUAUCACAUUGGGAAUUAGAUUUCAACAUAGGAAUUGGGGUGGGGGAGGCACAAACAUUCAGACCGUAGCAUUCUGCCCCAGACUCUCCCCAGUUCAUUUUCUUGUCAUAUGCAAAAUAUAUUCAUUCCAUCCCAAUAGGCUCCCAAAUCUUGACUUGUUCCAGCAUCAGUUCAAAAGUUUCAAGUCCACAGCCUCAUCUAAUCUCACCUAGGCCAGGCACCGUGGCUCAUGUCUGUGAUCCCAGCACUUUGGGAGGCUAAGGCAGGAGGAUUGCUUGAGGCCAGGAGUUCAAGACCAGCCUGGGCAACAAAGUGAGACCCUGUCUCUACAAAAAAAAAAAAAAAAAAAAAUA